UAGCAUUGCACGUAGAAUUUCAGUAGUCAUGAUAAGACAACUAGCUGAUGGAUUAAUAGAGACAUCACCGGUCAUUAAACCAACAUCACCAAAUUCGGAAAGUAGCUCUCGAUACUUUUGGUUACUUAAAGACUUUAUAGGACUAGUAUAAAUUACUCUCUGUCGAUUUUUCAAUGCUUGAGCAAUAGCAUAUUCAGCAAUAACCGUUUUACCUGCCGAGGUGUGUGCACUAACAAGGACUGAUUCCAUUCGUUCCACACACUUUAUUGCAGUAGAUUGAAAAGGAUCUAGUUCGAAAGGAUACGUUUUAGCAGGAGGAUCACUAGGGAUAUGUUUAUUUAGAGGAAUGUAAUCGUAAUCAUCAGGAACAACAACUUUGUGUAAUGCGAAGCUCCUAUCAUGUCUUUUGUCUUUAAGUAAUGGAUUCAAGUAUUUAGACUCAGAAACCGCGUCACUCAAUUUCAAGGAAUUUUUAGCAUAUUCCUUAUUGACUGAAGAGUCCGACAAAUUCUCGAUUAUCGACUCUUCUUCAGAGUUUGAAAAAGACGACUUCUCAUCCUCUUUAGUUUCUGUAUCUCUUAACAAUACUUUGAGCUCAUCAUUGCUAGACUCGCGUGAACCUUCACUGAAUUGGAAAUUUUUAGAGUCUGUACUGUUUUCUGACAUUACUAUAACAUUUCGCUACUUGAUAUAUCUAAACGAUUUAUUUAGAAAUUAAGGAAAUGAGAAGUAUUAAUAAUAUUCACAGAAACGACAGAGCUGUUUUAUCGCAAAACAAAAUUGGGUCAGUCGGGAGUUAGCAAAGCUAUGUUACUUUCGAAACUAAUAUCACCGGCCAACGGUAUUUUGAAAGUGAGUCAGAGAGGGAAAAAACUGUUUUUUUCUGUUCUUAUGUUCAUAUAUAAAAGAUUUAUUGAAUCAAGGGAUCCAGUAAAUGAUCUAGAUUACAUUUUGGAUCGCUUAAAAUUCUACACGCUCUUUCGAGUUCAUAGCGAACUACCUUAACUGAUUUUUGCGUUAAAGCUUUAGUCAAAUUCUUCUUUUUAAGAAAAGGAUCCAAAACAACAAAAGGGCAAUCCUUAAAUUCAGUUGACUUGCGUUUCAAUUGACUGCUUGAAAUAUCAAUCAUGUAAGCCUCCCAAUCGAACGAGUAUUGAGUAGUUAGUCCAUAAUAACAAAAAAAUCCUCGUAACAAUAAUGCAAUAUUUUUUCUGCCUUUUUGCAUUGACCCUCUAUAACAUUCGGUAUCCCUGUUAAACCAGCAAUUAACAUUUCCAUAAUCAUUAUCCCGGACGAUUUUUGAGUAUUGCGUGCUUAGCUUUUGAAGGUUUGGUAGUAUCGGUUCCGGAAUCUGUUGUAGAUAAAAAAUAACCAUUAUACACCAAGUAUAACUAGAAGGGAAUGCAUGAUGAGUCUUGUCAAUGAGUCUAUUCGAAGCCCAGUAUUUAACAAGCAUGAGUAAGGUUUUAACCCUUUCGUCGAUUAAAGAAUAGUUCAAGAUUAGAUCUGAAUUAUGAAUUGGCAGUAAAUUGUCGAAGCUUAAAUCACAGUGAAUAUUGUAUUGCCCUGUAAAUUUAAUGAUAGGAAUUCGAGCACCUCUAAUAGGCAUUACAUUAGAGAACUCAUUCUUUAUAAUACUCUUGACUCUAUCAUAGUAGGGAAGAAGCGCUUCUUUGGAAGAAUAAAUUACUAAAUCCAAAUCCGAAUUUUUGGUCAUAAGCCCUGUUCGAUAAGAUCCAAAGCACGCAAUUUUAACAGGACCUUCUAACUUUCUCAAACUUUUCAGCAAUUUCUUAAUAAUUGCUUUCAUAGCAGUCGUCCUCACUGUAUCGGGUCGAAUAUCAUUUUGGAAAUUUUGCAAACUUUGCUCAAGUGAAAUAUAACAAGGUACGUUCUCAAAAAAAUUUGAGCUUAUAAAAGUAUGUUGUAAUACUCCCCAUUCCGAUGGAUGUUUUAAGAACAAUGCCCCAGUAUCUGUUAAUUUCCUCGGAUAUUG